rnacentral:lncRNA from 1 species
GCAGAGCUCAGUGGUGGCGCAGAAAGUGUUCACUUCUUCUGUUUCGGGCUGUACGCUGUGGUUCUGCGCCUCCAGGGCUUUGCUGCCUGGCGAGCGUCCUCCCUGUACCACAGGAUCCUUGCCCGACUACAAACCCGAGGCUUCUAUUAGGAUAGUCUGGAUUCGCCAUAGGGGUUUCUCCUAGCGCGGAUUGUGUGUUUGCGUUGGCGAUGCUCAUAGAAGAAAGGCGCAGAGCUGUACGAGGAGGCGGGAUGCACGGGUCAGAGCCCUCGGUGGCCUCCGCCCGCUGCUCUUGGCGCCGGUCCGCUCCUGGAGAUAGCGCGGCAGCCGCCUGGGAGGCGAAGCGCGUAAUCUCCGCGCUACCCACGCGGGGCCGCGGCGUGGUGGCCGCACUUUGGCUUUGGGCGCUGGAUGGACAGUGGGGUAAAGGGUUGGGGUUCCCCUAACGUGGAUUACUUGGUGCUUAUCAACUGGAUUUAGAAGACUCUCGACCUGGUCUCCAUCAUCCGUGGGUUGUCUUUCCAUCUCCCAGCCGCUCUUUCACCUGGAGAUGAGACUCAGUUCCGCUUCUGGACCCCUGACUCCUCCUCAGGGCCUUCUUUGGAAUCAUGGCAUGAUGACGUCCCUCGUCCUCAUCUCUUUGCCCUCAUACCCUCAUAUGAUCCUCUAUUAGACACGCCGAGGAGACUGACCUGCUUAUCCAUGCUACUUAUCAGGAACUGUGGAACCAUGGAGAACAUGACCCUGGCCCUCCCUUCAGGAUCUGCCUGAGAUCUGGCUGCCUCUUGAGACACUAGAGCCCUGGAUUCAAUUGCGGAACAUUAUGUUGGAGAAUAUAAACACUUCUAGACUGUGCCGGCAUUUGGGAAGGAAUAGUCUGUUUUGACUUGAAUGAACAAAGACAUACGUCUCUGGGCCUGGGGAAGGCUUACCAGCUCAGCUCAUCUACUGUCUGGUGGCAAACAUGUCCUGGGUACUGCCACUACCCAGGACACUCUUCCUCACUCUGUCCCUGUCCAGUUACCGCACCCUUCCCUGUCUGACCCCGCCUCCUGUGCCCACUCGCCUCUGGACCCAGAGAUUCUUCUUGUUUGCUCUAUCAUCCUUGAGCCGGAUACAGGGUGAAUAGUUAACCACACUUGGGUUGAAUGGGAUCUUGAUUCUUAUUUCUGUUCCUUGGAAAGAGGGGUCAGACUCGGUGCGUGGCACCCGGCCUGGAAGCAGCACAAGACUCCAGAGUGAUACAUGAUCUGCCUGGAUGGUCCCAGGGGCUCUUUGGAGGUCAGAGCAAGAGGAGCAGCCUGAGCAGGGGGGCUGAGGAGGGCCGGCACUGGAUCACACGCAGGCGUAUGUCUGGAUAGGCAGAGAGGAACCCACUUUUCAUUCCCUCUUCUGUGACACAAAUGCAAGGAACUUUGAAGACACUCUUCGGAGGUUGCAAUCGGAGAUCAGCUUAUCCAAGGGCUUCAUGUCUGAGCUCUGUUGGUCGUGCCUCCUGAGGACCUCUUUCCUCUACUGUAUGCUGAUGACACACCCAUCCGAUGGGAGCUGGAGCCUUGUCUGGUCCUUUCCUCUAUGACCCCACGUGUACAGUUGGAAAUCCUUCCUAAUCAUGCCUUGAUUCCCCCUUUUCGACUACACUCAAAGAUGUUUGAGCUGUUUUAUUUGCAAAAUGGAUGGACAGUUUGUUUAUAUAAAACAAUCCCAGCUUCCUUGUGCUCUAUCUGGUGUGUUUGUAUGGCUCUUCAGUGACUUUAAAGUGGAGCAUUGACCUUGGCCUCUUUGAUUCUCCAUGGUGGAAUAGAGAAGACCUCUUGAGGAUGCUUAAUGUUGCUGAGAUCUUAAGAAGGCUUGCAGACUUCCUCUUCCUCCCUCCUUCUCCCACCUCCUCCUUCCCUAAGCAGCCUCUGCAUUGUAUAAAUUCCUUUAUAUAAA